rnacentral:rRNA from 1 species
UACGUAGGGUGCGAGCGUUAAUCGGAAUUACUGGGCGUAAAGCGUGCGUAGGCGGUUGGCAAAGUCAGCUGUGAAAGCCCCGGGCUUAACCUGGGGAUGGCGGUUGAAACUAGUCGACUCGAAUCUGGCAGAGGGGGGUGGAAUUCCACGUGUAGCAGUGAAAUGCGUAGAGAUGUGGAGGAACACCGAUGGCGAAGGCAGCCCCCUGGGCUGAGAUUGACGCUCAGGCACGAAAGCGUGGGGAGCAAACAGG